UCGAUUUGGAGUUUGUUGCCCUGAGUGAUGGGCUCCGAAGCUAACGCGAUAAAUCGACCGCCUGGGGAGUACGGCCGCAAGGUUAAAACUCAAAUGAAUUGACGGGGGCCCGCACAAGCGGUGGAGCAUGUGGUUUAAUUCGAUGCAACGCGAAGAACCUUACCUGGUCUUGACAUCCACAGAAUCUUGCAGAGAUGCGAGAGUGCCUUCGGGAACUGUGAGACAGGUGCUGCAUGGCUGUCGUCAGCUCGUGUUGUGAAAUGUUGGGUUAAGUCCCGCAACGAGCGCAACCCUUAUCCUUUGUUGCCAGCGAUUCGGUCGGGAACUCAAAGGAGACUGCCGUUGAUAAAGCGGAGGAAGGUGGGGACGACGUCAAGUCAUCAUGGCCCUUACGACCAGGGCUACACACGUGCUACAAUGGCGUAUACAAAGGGAUGCGACCUCGCGAGAGCAAGCGGACCUCACAAAGUACGUCUAAGUCCGGAUUGGAGUCUGCAACUCGACUCCAUGAAGUCGGAAUCGCUAGUAAUCGUGAAUCAGAAUGUCACGGUGAAUACGUUCCCGGGCCU
rnacentral:rRNA from 1 species